GCCAGGCACAGUGGCAUGCACCUGUAGUCCCAGCUACUUGGGAGGCUGAGGCUGGAGGAUCACUUGAGUCCAGGAGUUCUUUGCUGUCGUGCACUAUGCUGAUCGGUGUUCCCACUAAGUUCAGCAUCAAAAUGGUAACCUCCUGGGAGCGGGGGACCACCAGGUUGUCUAAGGAGGGGUGAACCAGCCCAGGUUGGAAAUGGAGCAGGUCAAAAAUUAUAGUCAUGUAAUAUAGUAAAAAAAAAAAUGCAACCAGUUAUAAGGAGAACAAUCAACAGAUCAUAGCUGCCCU
ensembl:misc_RNA Metazoa_SRP Metazoan signal recognition particle RNA